AAAUAGAUUACGUUUAUUCUAAUUACAUGACUUGACAAUGUGCACUGUCAUCCAAAAAGUAAUUGCAUUUAUUAUCAAUUGCUAUUUCUUGACUAGUAUGAAGAUGUAAAUUUACAUAAAGUGUUUUAUAUACUUUGAUCCUGCCAUUUGUAAACAUUUUUAAGGAUGUUUGUGAACCAAUAUUGUAUGCCGAAUCUAUAUUAUUCCUAGAACGUUACCAAUGUAACAUCACAAACCAUUCUCAUGUUGACUCAUUGAAGCUGAGGGUCUAUUACAUGAGGAAAUCAGUUGAUUAUUUUUAUACACAUCACACUUGGUUAUGAUUUUAUGCAUUGCACUGGUUACUCUUUGUAUUGAAAACAAACUGGGAAAUUAAAGUAGGAACUAAACUGCCAGAUGUUGUUUUACACUAAUGACUAGAGUCAGAGUCCCAUGUACAUAAAUUAUUUUAAUAGUGAAGAAAAGAAAAAAUGACUUGGAUGCCACACUGUUAGAACUAAAACAAUUUGAUAAUUUCAUUAAAAACCUGCUUCUAUAUACUGUAAUAUUAAACAAUGGCUUCAUCCUACCAAGUAUAAAAGGUAACCACUUUUAACGUGAGUUCCCUAAGACACUAAGCCAUAAAAUUUUAUUUCAGGGACAAAAAUACAACACUUUAUAGCAUUACCUUGAUUUCCCUAUUUCUAAUUACAUUUUAACAUCUUAUUCUGGAUGGGUCCAUAUGAUUUCAAGGGGAUUUUAACUCAAGGUCUUGGAAGCAAAAAUGUAGGAAAUUCUAAACAAGAAGAUGCACAGCACAUGUAUGUAAAUCAGAAAGCAACAGUGAAUGGAAGGUGGCUAACCUUUAACUAUUUUGAAUUUUGGACCCUUGUUAUUUUGUCACAUUGAUAUUUGUUUUAAAAGUAAGGAAUGUUGGAUUUCUUAAUACAUGAUAAUUCACAAAACUGACCUCUUUUGGUCCAGAACUACUUAAAAGUAUUCUACUUGUAAGUAUUCUAAGGCCAAAACAUGAAAAAUCUUUAAAUUUUAGAGAUAUUAUGUAUGGAAACUUAAAACACGACUUUUCAAGUAUGAAUUUAAGAGUCAAAACAUUCUUCACAGUUAAGAUUUGGUAUUUAAAGGGGGACAAAGGUAAUAAAAUUAGCUAUCAAAGUGGUAGAAUAGCAGUGAAACUAUUUUUAAAAAUCCACGAAAUAAAAGCCCUAAAGAAUAAUCUAAAAUAAAAAGGCAAAAUAUGCUUGAGAAAAAUAGGAGAGCCUAGAACUGGAUGAGAGGACAAAUAAAACAAGAUUAACCAGAAAGAAUAAGAUCAUUUCCAUCUACAGUUUAUACACAUAAAAGAAAGACAUACUGGGGGGAGGAGCAAGAUGGCGGAAGAGUAGGGUCUCCAAAUCACCUGUCUCCACCAAAUUACCUAGAAAACCUUCAAAUUACCCUGAAAAUCUAUGAAUUCGGCCUGAGAUUUAAAGAGAGACCAGCUGGAAUGCUACAGUGAGAAGAGUUCGCGCAUCUAUCAAGGCUAAGCAUUCUUGAUGAAUGUGCCUGCCAUUCAGUGACUCUAAGAGGCUGAGCCCCUAUUAAGUGAAGGGAAUGUACAGAGGCAGCACCCACUGGGGCCAGAGAAGACUGAAGGAGGCUCGAGACCAUGGCCUGGUUCUAGUGUAACUGAUAAAUAAAGCCGACUCUCUGAGCUGAGUUUCAGGGAGAAAGGUACUGAUGGGAGUCACUCUCUGAAGAGGUGAACCAUGAAGCAGAAACGAAAAAGGAAGCAUCUAGAAAGGACAAGUUCCCCACAAACUGUAAAGAGGUCAAAAGCAAGUACUAACGUAGAAGUUGUUCUACAGCAUGAACAAAGCGCAGUGGCCUCAACUUCAGGCCAGACAGAAAAGAAAAGGAAUCUUCUUCCUCUUCAGAAUGCUUCAGCACCUCCUCCCAAGAAAAGCUCACUGGUGCUGGAAUCCUAGAAUCAAGCAAAUGUGAUCCACCACCUGGCCAUUCUUUGGAAGACAAUACUCCGGUCCCUGAGGCAAAAGGUGAAUCAGAAUACUUCUGUUAUUCCUCCUUGAGUCAUCUGUCUUCUGCAGAAAUCUUAAAAAAGCAGAAGGAUACACCACAGCCUGGUGAGAGUACCUCACAGGAAGAACACAGUGCCGUUGUCUCAAGUGACCUCCCCUGUGCCUCUGACAAUAAGAAUACUGAAUUCUGGAAGAACCAAGAGAAUGUGCCUCAGCCUGAGUCAUAUGUGGUCUCUCCUGGCAGUGAGAUUGCAGGAGAAAAGUCUUCCUCAGAAUAGUCUGCAUCUCCCCUUCUGAGCAAACAAUCAAGAGAGCAAAAAGGCAACAUCUGGAAUAAAAUAAAAUAUCUACAAACCAAAAAAAAAAAAAAA
rnacentral:lncRNA from 1 species